CAACUCUCUAACCCAGCUGGUCCUCAUAUUGCUUACGGAAGCAGUCUCCAGUUGGGAAGAAGUCCCAGCAUCUCUCCUGGUACAUCUUCCACACAUAUGACUCCUGGAGGAAGAAAGGAACAGAGUUCGUCAGCCCUUGCUGUCUCGUCCUUGUUAAUCAGGUACAUCAGGAAGAACCUGCACAUGGGAGCACAGGAGUGGUGUGACAGAAGUUCAUGUUGUAAAUCAGGCAACACUUCUUGGCUAAAAUUCUCUAGUUUCCACCCCACCCUGGCUGGAUCAGAGUCUUACCUCCAUGUCCUCCUUCACCUGCUCCUGCUGGUCUCUCAGCUCACCAAAGGCAUCAAUGAUCAAACCUGAAAGAGGGUGCAACACGAUAAAUGACUGUGUACCCUGAAUGAUGGCCAGCAGGAUGACGAUGACGAAGAAGAAGAAGGUGAUGUCAAACAGGAUGCGGUAGAGCUCAUAGGGGUCUCCAGCUGGGUCCUCCAGCUCGUCUCCGAUACCUCCUCCAGCUCUCACACCAACGUACAUGUGGAACAAGUAGCACUGUGAAGAGAGACGAGAUUAACAGAUGUCAGAUGUGGUGAGGCAUACCGUCAUCAUAUCAUCACACUUCAUGUCUGGCUCGUCCUCAUCCUCGCUCUUAUUGUAGAACUUCCUGAAGAAGUUAAAGGCCACCACAGUGUAGAGAUAGACGACCACAGCCAGCAGACCCACAGUCAGCACAAGCUGGAACGCAGAGAGAAGCCAUUAAAGUCAGGGAAAGUGGUUCACACAAGAGCUGCAAUAUUUUCAAAGGCCUCUCCAGCUGAAUCGAGGAUUUCAGGGCAGCUUUUAUCAGUAUUCAAUGACUCUUGAGACCUUCAGGAAAUCAAAUUCACGUCAUCCCAGAACGUCUUCACGCCCCAUCCAUGCACUGCAAUUUACUUUGUUAUUCUACAGUUUUAUAUAUGCUCCCUGUCUGUUGCAUUCACUGUCAGAAAGAUGGUCUAAGCCAGUUUUUUUAAUAGCAUUUUUACCAUUUAUUCACUACAUUUUGCUAUCUAUUUGAACGCUUUAUUCAUUUAUCAGUUUCAUCUAUUAAUGCAAAACAUUUAGAUAACUGUUAAAACUUCCCUACUUGUUUCCUACCUUACCUACUUAAGUCACAGCCUGUUGUGUUUCAGAUGUUGACUCAUCAUUUGGAUAUAUAUUUUUUACUUUUUUUAAAUUAGUUUACCUUUUUUACAAUCUCUCCAAGUACCCCUGGCAACUACAACAAAUGCCCCUCGGGACAUGAGUGUUACUGGUUUAAACUACUCUUUUGCCUCUUCUGACAUUUAUCACAACAUAACAACAGCACAAAUCCACAGAACUAGAUACAUGUUACUUCAAACUGUGAAUGACUCACUCUAUUACAGUGGCACAGCCUCUAGAAUAAAACUGAAAAUCCA